rnacentral:rRNA from 1 species
GUCUACAGCCAUGCCACCCUGAACAAGCCCGAUGUCUGAUCUUGGAAGCUAAGCAAGGAGCAGGGUUGGGCCUGAUUAGUACUUGAAUGGGAGACUACCUAGAAAGACCAGGUGUUGUAGGCA